UUUCCGUAGGUGAACCUGCGGAAGGAUCAUUACUGAGUGAGGGCCCUCUGGGUCCAACCUCCCACCCGUGUUUAUUGUACCUUGUUGCUUCGGUGCGCCCGCCUCACGGCCGCCGGGGGGCUUCUGCCCCCGGGUCCGCGCGCACCGGAGACACCAUUGAACUCUGUCUGAAGAUUGCAGUCUGAGCAUAAACUAAAUAAGUUAAAACUUUCAACAACGGAUCUCUUGGUUCCGGCAUCGAUGAAGAACGCAGCGAAAUGCGAUAACUAAUGUGAAUUGCAGAAUUCAGUGAAUCAUCGAGUCUUUGAACGCACAUUGCGCCCCCUGGUAUUCCGGGGGGCAUGCCUGUCCGAGCGUCAUUGCUGCCCUCAAGCACGGCUUGUGUGUUGGGCUCCGUCCCCCCGGGGACGGGCCCGAAAGGCAGCGGCGGCACCGAGUCCGGUCCUCGAGCGUAUGGGGCUUUGUCACCCGCUCUGUAGGCCCGGCCGGCGCCAGCCGACAACCCAUCAUCCUUUUCAGGUUGACCUCGGAUCAGGUAGGGAUACCCGCUG
rnacentral:rRNA from 1 species